GAGAAAGGUGCUGAUUUGGGAGAUGAGGAUGGUUUUCUUACCUAUAUCUCACCAAGUUCUCGGGGGUGGUCAUAGGAUCCAUACAACACAACUGAAAAUAUGCACUGGGAGUGGAGCCACCUGUCUUUUCAUUGGAAACCUGGUCAGUUUGUGUUCAAGGGUGACUUGGAUAUCAACGUGAGAACAGCCUCUAAGUAUGACGACUGCUGCUUCCUUCACCUGCCUGACCUCUGCAUGACACUGGACCUGCAGUGGCUGUGCCAUGGGAACCCCCAUGAUCACCAUAGUGUCACUCUGCGGGCCCCAGAGUUCCUGCCUGAGGUGCCCUUGGGCCAGCUUCAUGACUCCUACCGGGCCUUUCGCUCGGAGAACCUCAAUCUCUCCAUCAAGAUGGAUCUGACUCGGCACAGUGGAACAAUAUCCCAGCCCCGAAUUCUGCUAUAUAGUAGUACCCUGCGCUGGAUGCAAAAUUUCUGGGCAACUUGGACAAGUGUCACAAGGCCUAUCUGCAGGGGAAAGCUCUUCAAUAACCUGAAACCCAGCAAGAAGAAACUUGGUCAGCACUACAAGCAAC
rnacentral:sRNA from 1 species